UAAAGGUUGGAGCCCAAGAUUAGAGAGUAUUUAUGACCCAACACGGGGAAUAAAUAAGCACUAACCAAAGAAUAACAAGCCAACGCGAAAUUGAGAAUAAUUUCUCGAUCAUUCUAUACAUAUAUACCCCAUAAUUUAUAUAAGAAGCUAAAACCAUAGAUUCCAAUAUUCACCACACUACCCGAUCGAGCUGCAAAAUUUGACCCAGCAUAUAUCAUUCUCCCAACUUUGAUGCGCAGAUACAAUCUCCUUGAGGUAUCGACCAUUGGUUGAAAGCUCAAUUUUCUGUGUAUACGACUUGUUCAUAUGCAACUGAAGCUUUGCUGCAGUUACUUUAUUGUUAUAAAUGGAUUUGACAGUUCUUAGAUCGUCAUCAAGCCAAAAGAAUUAGGCAAUAUCACCUUGUUUCAUGCAUUCCAAAGCUGGGAAUUGGGUGGGAGUAAUUGGGAUUGACAAGAAGACAAAAGUGUAGAUUCCAAAUCUGGAAUAAUUUCAAAGAUGAGAUAAAACUUGAUCAAGUUAAUUGACCAGAUGCCCAUUCAAGCAAUUCAAAAUCAUUGGCUGAAAAUCAAUUGAGGGUUCCAUCAUUUAAUUUCUCUUUCCUGGAUACAUCCAAGGGCGUAAAAGUACCACUUUUCAUUGAGUAUAGCAAACAAGUGGUUGUAAGAAUUAAACAACUCGUGUCAUUUUCAUACCGCUUAAUUAGAAUGGGAACGUGGGGUUGAACUCUCAAGUCCUCUCUAUAUGACUUUCUUCAGAUGAAUUUCAGAGAAUCACUUAGAAAAUGGACUCUAAAUUAGUAACGCUUCUUAGCCUCCAAGAUUCGACUCCAUGCAUCCACUUCCAAGAUCUGCGUAAGUACUGUGUUUGUUUAUGUGCAUGUGUGUAUACACUACAAUGAAUUUGGCUAGAAGACGUACUUUAAUUAAAAGAAGAUAAAGUACACUCCCAAUGUUUAUUAGAAAAUUAACAAUGGUUAUUUGCGAUAAAAUGAAAUAUAUGUGACAAAAUUUAAAAUUAA